GAUGAACGCUGGCAGCAUGCCUAAUACAUGCAAGUCGACCUGAACUUCGGUUUGUUUGGCGGACGGGUGAGUUACGCGCAAGGAACUUUCCCCCCAGUUAGGGACAACAUUUGGAAAGGAAUGCUUUUACCAGAUAUUAUAAUAUUACGGCAUCCUAGAUUUAUCAAAGCUUUAUGUGCUGUGAGACAGUUUUGCGUCCCCUUAGCUAGUUGGGGAGGUAACGGCUCACCAUGGCGAUGAUGGGUAGCCGGCCUGAGAGGGUGAACGGCCACAACGGGACGGGGAGGCGGCCCUUAGGAAUACGUGAGAAAGGAGUGAAGAAUAUUCGACAAAGGACCAAGAGGUUGAUAAAGCUAUUCGGUGUGAAAGAUGAAGUUUUUAGGAAUGAAAAGUGGUUUAAGUUAAGAAGAAAAAAAUGACGGUACCAAAAGAAGAAGUGACGGCUAAAUACGUG
rnacentral:rRNA from 1 species